UUGGUUUUGCCGUCCCAGAUAAAGUUGUUUCUUUGGACAUGAAGUUGUCGAGUGGUCCUUUUUCUAAGUAGAAGUUACUACAAAAGGGUUCUUUUGAAGACCCUGACCUGGAUUUACAUGCUGACUUCGGUUCUUUGCGGGAAUGGGACCUGCUCUUGGGGUUUCACGACUGGCCAUUAUUCGACAUGCCAAGAGCGUGGCCUAAGAGGUUCGCUCGGCUUCGGAGGUCCAAGAUCUCGUGGCUCUGGAGAUAGGUGGAUCGAAGGUCACAAAAGAAGAGAGAACAGGUACUGAACACAAGUAGUCAACAAAGAACACUAGGAGCAACUAGUUGAGGCUGGCUGGUU